UACGAAGGGGGCUAGCGUUGCUCGGAAUCACUGGGCGUAAAGGGUGCGUAGGCGGGUUUUAAGUCAGAGGUAAAUCCUGGAGCUCAACUCCAGAACUGCCUUUGAUACUGGAAGUCUUGAGUAUGGGAGAGGUGAGUGGAACUGCGAGUGUAGAGGUGAAAUUCGUAGAUAUUCGCAAGAACACCAGUGGCGAAGGCGGCUCACUGGCCCAUUACUGACGCUGAGGCACGAAAGCGUGGGGAGCAAACAGGG
rnacentral:rRNA from 1 species